GCUGUGGAAGCCGUAAUAAAAUCUUUAUACUUUACUAUGGCUUUUAAGCCGUAAUUACUCCACUUUAUUAUGGACUUCACAAAAGUCGAAACACAAAGAUUUGUUUCAGUGCGGAAAAGAUCAUUUUGAACAUGGGUCGAAGAAUUUUCGCCGACAAAUGUUGAGUGUUUCCUUACUUUGAUUGGCCCACCAGGUGUCGGAGAGACUGCAACGGUCAAAGCUUAUGUAAAUCUCCUGAUAUUAAGUUAUUUGCUUGGUCAAAUAAGCAUCAAGAAAAUGCUAAACACAAAUAAUGGCAUGUUCUGCUUUGGAGAUCAGAUAACCUCUAGGGAAACUCAAGCUCGGUCCUUAUGUCUAUUUCUCUUACAAUCAUCGAAAUAUUUUUACAUUCAAAUGGUAAAAGAAUGAUACUUAUUGAGGUGAGACUUUUUUAUUUCAAUUAUUUAAUUAUCAAACAAUGACAUUUAAAAGAGUGGGAACUGGGAAUUUUUUUUA
rnacentral:lncRNA from 1 species